CCUGGGGACACUGAUAAAAUCGAUGUUGUUGUGUGCAGCCUGAUUCCAACCAAUAUCUAACCAUAACAACAUUUCACUACUUUUGAUAUAAAUUCCAGUUCCUAACAUGAAACGAACUUGCCAGUUUAUAUUUUUUGUAUUGUUCGUUUUGGUUUUUUAUUAGAGGUCGAUAUUUUUAAUUGUUUUCCUUUCAAGUGCUAAAUGAU
rnacentral:lncRNA from 1 species